GGGAUAUGAAUCCAGCUCUGGAGGUGGCUGUUGCAGUAGGCUUUCGUGUUGGAAUAGAAGCAGACCUUGCAGAAGGGAGAAGGCUAAACAACACACCCCAACGUGCCGGUGCACAAGUGGACGAUAUUCGUGGAGUAGUAGGAUUUUGAGUUUCAACUGAUUGCUCAUAUUUUCUUACAAUUACUUUUCUAUAUCCGUAGGCUUAACAUCACCAUUUUCUGGAAAAGAAUAGAAGUUAAAGGAUCGAUGAAAUAAACGAUUAUUUAAAAUUACUAUAUUUUGAAUUUGAA